rnacentral:rRNA from 1 species
GACGAACGCUGGCGGCGUGCUUAACACAUGCAAGUCGAACGAAGUGGCGAACGGGUGAUUAAUACGUGAGUACCCUGCCCUCCUUUUUGGGAUCAGCCUUGGAAACGUGGUCUAAUACCGAUUCAUGGGGCUUGGGCUCGCGGCCUAUCAGCUUGUUGGUGGGGUUAUGGCGUACCAAGGCGGUGACGGGUAGCCGGCGUGAGAGGGUGACCGGCCACAUUGGGAAUGGGAUACGGCCCAGAGUGCUACGGGAGGCAGCAGUGGGGGAUAUUGGACGAUGGGCGAAAGCCUGAUGCAGGGGCGCGGCGUGGGGGAUGAAGGAUUUCGGGGUGUAAACCUCUUUCGCGAUCGAACGGGUAGGAGGAGAAGAAGCGCCGGCUAACUACGUGCCAGCAGCCGCGGUAAUUC